GUAGUCUCGCACAGAUGCAUAUCAAUAAGCGGAGGAAAAGAAACUAACAAGGAUUCCCCUAGUAACGGCGAGUGAAGCGGGAAGAGCUCAAAUUUGAAAUCUUAAAGGGUUUCCCUUUACGAAUUGUAGUUUAAAGAAGUGUUUUCUGUUGAGGUUUUGGUAAAAGUUCUUUGGAAUAGGACAUCAUAGAGGGUGAGAAUCCCGUAUUUGACCUUUACUUUCAACUUUGUGAUACACUUUCAAAGAGUCGGAUUGUUUGGGAAUGCAGUCCAAAAUGGGUGGUAAAUUUCAUCUAAAGCUAAAUAUUGGCGAGAGACCGAUAGCGAACAAGUACCGUGAGGGAAAGAUGAAGAGAACUUUGAAAAGAGAGUUAAACAGUACGUGAAAUUGUCAAAAGGGAAGCGUUUGACACCAGUGUUGUUUUUCUGAAAAUCAAUUAAAGAACUGUUUAUGCUAAGUUGUUUAGACUUUAUCAGCUAACUGUUUAGUUUUGAGCUUUUCUUUAAUGCACUUUUCAGUUAACAAGUCAACAUCAAUUUCUUUUGCUGUAAAAAAGCUUGAGGAAGGUGGCUUGAGAUUCGUCUUAAGUGUUUAUAGCCUCUUGCCUAUGCAGUCGGAGAGAUUGAGGUCUGCAGCGUAGAUCCUUCGGGGCUAAAUGCAUUUGUGCUAAGUUAUAGCAUUUUAUAGACAACUUGUUGACUAUGAUUUGUCUUGUAGCUUACUCGCUUAUGUUAUUUUACCUACGCUUAGGAUGUUGACAGCAGUAUAGACUGU
rnacentral:rRNA from 1 species